UUUUAUCAAGAAGUGAUAGUGAAGUUAGCAGUGCAGCAUUUGCAGGAAGUAGACACAGUGGCAUAGGAAACAUUUUUUAAUUAUCUGCAUCAACAAAAAAUGUAGGCUAAUGGAUAUUUUUGGAUGUGAAAUAUUGGUGCUAGCUAUAUCAUUGCUGAGAAAAGGGAUAUAUCUGACCAAGUUAGUCAGGUGAGCCCGGUAGUGAAACACAAGUGUUAGUGUAGUUCUAGAACGUUAAUGACAUUUGGUGACUCAUCAUUCUGUAUUCUCAGGCCCCUCUGGCAAAAUGGGCUCCCACCCCCAUUUCCUGGUGGGGUUGUGCCUCCUCUGCUCUCCCGGCCUGCUCACACGUGUGAUAGCCGGUCUGUAGAGAACCACCCCAUGCAGCACAAACUCUGUAGUAUUUAAAUUCACCAUGAUGCGAGCAGGUUUUUACAGGUUUUGUUGGUUAUUUUCAAGGACACUGUCGUGGAGUGUGGGUCCACAACUAUGCCAUGUCUAAGGCAGGCCAUAAAGAGGCAAUAGUGGUGACUCCCUCAUAAAACAGGAUAUUACUUCACAAGUCCUGAUAGUUUUUACUCUUAACUGGUUCACUGUGGGGAAUCCAUGUUUGAAAUUAUUUGUUGAGUAUUAUGGUAUUAUGUAAAAUGUUGUAUUGAUAUGUUCUCCCCACAAAAUGUGUGGCUGCUGUUGAUGUCACCAGUGCUUAUAUAAUGUGGAGCGUAUUAAGUUGCUUCUGUCAUGCAUACGUUUUUCCUGACUUGUUUUGCAUUGGCGUCAGUCUUUGCAUAGGCCACAGUGCAUCCUAGUGUCACAUUUGCACACGGCAGAUUAUUACACCUGCCCCUUCUACUAAAUUACGAUUCCUGUAGUGUAGGCCUACUAAAAACUAUAUCUCAGGUUGGUGUUAUGGGCAAAUAUAUUAGUCUUUUUUUAUGCUGAUGAAGUGGCAAUGCCACUUGUAUAUCAGUAAGGGCUUUGAAAAAUGUUGGUGAAGUUUGUGCAGUUCUUAUUUAGUGUGUAUCUUUAUCACACACAGUCCCUUCAGAUAGUAGUCACACCCCUAGACUUUUUACACAUGUUAGACUGAAUUUAAAAUAGCUGAAAUUGAGAUUCACUGGCCUAUAGACAAUACCCUAUGUCAAAGUGGAAUUAUGUUUACAAAUUAAUUAAAAAUGAAAAGCUGAAGUGUCUUGUGUCAAGUAUUCUACCCCUUUAUGGGAAGCCUCUAAGUUCAGGAGUAAAAAUGUGCUUAAGUUUCAUGGACUCACUCCGUGUGCGAUAAGUGUUAAACUUUUUUCUUUUGAAUGACUACCUCAUCUCUACCCCACGCACAAUUAUAUGUAAGUUCCCUCAGUCGAGUAGUGAAUUUUAAACACUGAUUCAACCACAAAGACCAGGGAGGUUUUUACAAUGCAUCACAAAGAAGGGCAGCUAUUGGUAGAUGGGUUAUAAAAAUAAAUAAAAACAGACAUUGAAUAUCCCUUUGAGCAUGGUGACAUUAUUAAUUACACUUGGUAUCGAUACACCCAGUCACUACAAAGAUAAUGUCCCUCCUAACGUAGUUGCCAGAGAGGAAGAAAACUGCUCAGGGUAUUCACCAUGAGGCCAAUGGUAAAUUAAAAACCUUUAGUUUAAUGGCUGUGAUGGAAGAAAUCGGAGGAUGGAUCAACAACAUUGUUUUUCAACAAUACUAACCUAAUUGACAGUGAAAAGAAACCCUGUACGGAAUAAACAUGUUCCUAAACAUUCAUCCUGUUUGAAAUUGCGGCAAAUAAAUUAAUUUAAUGUCCGGAAUACAAAACGCUAUGUUAGGGGCAAAUCAACAGUCUUGAGUACCACUUCAUAUUUUCAAGCAUGGUGGUGGUUGUAUCAUGUUAUGGUGAAACUUAAUCCUAGAGGGAAAACCUGGUUCAGUUUCUGGUGGAAAGCAGAUGCAUUCACCUUUCAACAGGACAAUAACCUAAAACGUGGCCAAAUAAACACUUGAUUUGGUUAUCAAUAAGAUGGUGAAUGUUCCUGAGUGGCCAAGUUACAGUUUUGAAUUACACAUAUUUUAAAAUCUAAGGCAGAACCUGAAAAUGGUUGUCUAGUGAUGAUCAACAACCAAUUUGACAGCUUGAAUAAUUUUUUUGUUUAAGAAUAAUGGGCUAAUGUUGCACAACUCAAACUCACAGCUGUAGUCGCUGCCAAAGGUGCUUCUGAAAAGUAUUCACUUGGGUGUGUAUUUCAUUUUCAAUAAAUGUGCAAACAUUUCUAAAAACACGUUUUCACUUUGUCAUUAUGGGGUAUUGUGUGUGUGUGUAGAUGGGCGAGGAGAAAACAUUGAAUACAUUUUUGAAUACAUUUUGAAUUCAGACUAACACAAAAUGUAGAAUAAGUCAAGGGGUAUGAAUACUUUCUGAAGGCUGUCUUGUGUGUGGGGAUAUAGUACUGUGCAGUGCAAAACCUUUUAUAUCCCAGUAAAUAUUGCUCAGUCUGUAUGGACAACAUAAUGUGUUGUGACUAACGCUGUAAUUCUAUGGCUUUACUGUGUAGACACCUUAUGGUGGUUGUAUGGAUGUGCUAGACUGCUGAUAUGUCUAAAUGCAGUAUUUAAUGUAUUAGUGAUGCCGAUAACAUCACUCAUGACAUUUUAACUAAUGCUGUCUGGUUGCACCAUUUUUAAAUCCUCCACAAUAAGUUUGACUCCAUCCUAUUGAAACACAUGGUGUAUUUUACAUGUCAAUUCAGGCUUGCCUUAAGGGAAGAUACUGGUAAACAUGGCUGCCCCACUUACUUAAAAUACUCAUACUUACAGAAUAUUAUGUAGUAACAUUUGAAAAUAUGGUUGUCCUUUCUAGCUUCAGCCUUCCAGUUCGGCUUUUCACUUUUCUUUUUUACACUGGUUGUAGUCAAAUGGUUACAAGCGGUCCUUGAGCUUAAUUGUGUAAAAAUAUAUCAUUCAUAUUGUUUGUGUAUGGGUGCCAGUCCACACAACUGUAAGAUGACUAUGGGAUAUAGUCACUCUCUUUAGGCCACAUCAAAUGAAAUGGAGUAUCUUAUCAGUCAGUCAACCGCGUGGGGGAGAUGUGAGAAUGUAACCGUAGUGGCACUCUGCUGGGCCUCUCUUCCGCUGGGUUUGGGGAUGUUUCAUGAUGUCCCCACUCCACCGGCCCCCAGCAUCACAAAGUGGCAUAGCCCUCUUUACACGUCACGAACGGGAACUGUGGAUAAAUUUAAAAAAAAAAAUGUAUCAAUGUGUCUAACAUUGUAGUUAUAUUUUGGGGCCCUAUGCUAAACCUAGCUUGUGGGAUGGGGAGGGAGAGACUGUCAUAGGACUCAAAUGUGGGAAUGCAUCGCAGAACAGUUUAACUGUAAGUUGGGGUUUGUGUGUGAGUUUAGACACUUGUCAGAAUGGAGAGUUUUGGCCCAAGCAUGUUGAUGGGGUGCACUGUGUACGUGUGAGAGUGCUUUGGAUACACUGGGGGUGUGUCUCUUAAAUCCACACACCCCUCUUUUCCUCUUUCUCUCACACACCCCUCUUCCUCUUUCUCUCACACACUGAGCUUGGAUCCUAAUCUCCCUCACUGCUAGUUCUCUGGCCUGCUCCUCUCAUGGAGAGAUGACUCAUGUUGAUUACUAAUGCGACAGGCGUUGGUUUGGUGUCAGUGUUUAUGGCCGGGUGAGGGUUGUUUCUGUCAUUUCUCUGUGGGUCCAGUGCCGAGGAGGCGUCGGUCAGGACGUAGCUCUGAAAUGGCCGGCGUCACACUGCUUCUGCUUUGUCUACUUCCUGUUGAUGGCUUUUCUGGCCCUGCAGUGGGGAGAUAGAGCGGCUCUAUUGAAGUGACGCAUGCUGUUCAUGGGAAUAGUUGUAUGGGAAGCCCUCUCCCUAACCUUGGCUGGAUGUCCCCCCCCAGUUUACUAUACAUGCAUCUGGACCGUGCUGUGUUGGAGUGAGAAGGGCCCUACUGUAACAGACCCGCCUGACUGUGAAUGGGGAGAUAGAUUGGUGCUCGGAGGUCACUCGCAAGUCUCCAUUAGUGGAGUCGCGUGAAAUUAACAAACUGUAGGCUUGGUUUGUGUGUACCUUCUCUGACAUUGGUGUUGUGCAGAGGGAACCCCAGUCAGUCAGUUAGCUCUGCGGUCACUCUGCCUGCCUUGUGCUCUACUGGGCAUGUGUUGUGUUGUGUUGGACAAGUGGGAACGGACUGCUGGAGUUUUUGCAGGAUUAACACCCACAACUGCAUGACCGGUGUUUCUAUGGCUCAGAAGGGUUCCUAUUUAUAGAUGUCAGGCCUGGUGUAAAUUACUAUAAACAAUAAACUGAACCUCUACCUCCCUGCCUGCACACACCCCUGUCCAAAACAGUUACCUCUGGCUAGUUACUCACCACAUUAAACUCUACUAUUUUAGGGUGAAAUGAACUCUCUAAAAUACAUGAAUACACCCAAACCAAGUGUGGAAUGGUCAGCUUUAAGUCCCUAACCAUUCUUGAUGAAUGCUGAUAAUUGUGAUUUUGGUUUAAUGUGACUGGAUUUUGGUAGUUGGGUUCUGUUAAUAGUGAUUAUAUUCUGUUCAAUUUAUUAUAAUGAUUUUAUGAAAAAUGCAGUGUCGUGUGUGGGAGAGGGAUAGUAAGAAAUGUGUUUGUAGGUUGUGUGUCAUUGAAGUAUAAUUCAAAUGUAGGCCUAUAUUAUAUUUUAGAAAGUGAUAGUUUGACUUUUUAAAGAUAGCAUUCUUAGAUAAUGGACAAGAACAUGCCUCCAUACACAAGUACCCAGUUCUUCCAACUUCAGUCUAGUUACAUCAUGUAGUUACACCAUGUCAUGGUGUAACUAGACUAAAGUUGGAAGUACAUCUGUGUUAUUGUGUAUGGAGGGAUGUUCUUGAAAAUAAAGCCAUAGCUAAGGAAAUUGCCCUAUUAUGUUGAGUUUGACUUUAACUAUAUUAUUUAUUUAUUUUAUCUAGUGUGCCAUUUUAGAUGUAUGUGAAGUUGCAUGGGACUGCUUUCAAAACUAAAAUCCUUUCCCAGAAUGUAAUAUCAGGCAUGUAUAACUUGUUCAGUUAUUUGAAAUGUAUUUGCAUGUUUGGUACUAGUUGCUGUCUAAACUGAAUUAUGAUGUAACUGCUUUUUAUACUCAACAGCAUUGUGCAUACAAUCCUCAUAACCUACUUAAAAUAAUCAAAGAAAUUAUAACUUUUCCCUCAACUGAAGUCUGGAUGUAUCAACUCUUAUCAAAUUAAUUAUUUAAAUGAUAAUCAUUCUCCUAUUGAAUAACAAUAAAGCAACAUUUUAACAUUUACAUAAAACAAUUGUCAGUAUAGUGUAGAAACUUCUUAGAAAUGUACCAUAUAGCCUACACAACAUACACACAUAGCAGAACAGACUUGUGUUACAAGUGAGGCUAAACUAAAUUUGCUCUUGACAAGAGAAGGGUUUGUGAUGGGGGGGUCUAGAGCGUCCUGCCCCUGUGGAAAGGGGUCACUCGACCUUUGCCCCCAGAGUCAGGUCACUCUGAGUUGCUUAUUCAGGGUGCGAGCCAUAGGAACUGGUUAAAAGGCUGAGGAACAGAGGCGACAAUGGGAGAGAGCAGGGAAAGGUUAAAGCCAUAAUGGUGUGUGUGGAUAUUGGGUUGUAGUGACAACUGGUCAAGGCUCCUCUUGGCCCACUGAUGCAGUCUGAGGCCUCAUUCAAUAACCUGGUUUGAGUUAAUUUAUGAUUUUUCAUGAAGGUAAAGCGGGAGCGAGAGAGACCCAGAGAGGGAAUGUCUCAAGGAGUGGGAGUGGUGUGUGGAGUGCACAAGUGUAUUAUUUUUCUUUCUUUAGAUCAAAUCGGGUUAGAUUUAUUUUCAAUCAGCCGGGAGAGUGGGAAUGCAAUUUAAUUAGAAAAAUAUGACAUGCCUGAUGUGAAAUGUAAUCAACUGAAAUGAAGUAAGUCUGUAUACUGUAGUUGCUGGUAUGUAAAGUGGUACAGUUUAAUUAUUUAUUACGAUGUACAUGAGUCUGAAGCAUUAAUAUUAUUCAGGCAAUAAUUAACACUUCUCGUGUUUGUAUUUACAUAGUGACCAGAAUACACCUUUGCUAACGCAGAUUUUCAUUUUUAAUUAGUGUUCUAGAUAAACCACUAAAACUUGGACCUUAACUAGAAAUAUUUCUUGUCAGCGUCAUGAAAUAUAGGCCAGUUGCAAUUGAGGCCCCCAUUUCAAAACCUCUUUUAAAAAGGGGACAUAUUUAAGUGACCUAUCUAGAAGUCAUUUGUGGUUUGCUUUGCUGCACAUUUAGUUGUCAGUGGCUAUUUAACUAAUUAUCUGAGAGAAUUUGUAUGAGGGAAACGGAAAUCUAUUAAUCAUUAGUUUCCUUGCGUGUCUUUUGACCCACCUUGUCCAAAUUAAUAUUUGUGCCUCAGAGAGGGAGAGUGUAUUUGUAUCCCUCGCUCACACUCUGUCCUGGUUAAGUACUUUCUGUUCUAUGAACACUUAGCAGAACACAAUGGAGCAGGCAUUAUCUUUUGUAACCCAAAAGCACUCCGCCACAGAACACCUGGGAUACUGCCAUCAAUGGUCAACACUAUCCCCUGGUCAUGUAGAUUUUGUGUAUCAUACUUCCCGUGGAGUCUUGUACAGGUGAAAAGGCUUCAAGUUGAGGCUCACUCAAAUCUUAACUGAAAUGGUGAAGAAUAUGAAAUACUGAAAAGAUUGUGUUAGGAGGCCAUAGGACGCAACGAUCUGAAAUUCUAAUAAAUUAAAACACAUCCUAUCAGCUGUUUAGUACAAUUUCACCUUUUGGGGGGGGGGGGGGUAAAUGACUAAAGAUAUUAUUUCUCAUAUGGUGUAACUUGAGUGAAAAUUAAAUCCUGUGAGAAAAUCCUAGGCCAAAUGUCUUUUUAGCUAACUGGCAGUCCUGCUGUUAAUUUAGAAGUUGUAGUGUAAUUAAACUGUAAGAUGCCAAAUGUGUUUGUGUUCACUUCUCUGCUCCCACCCUGUAAUACCAGGGCCCAUCUCUCGACACAGCACUGUUAACGCUGGGUUAUUUCCUUAUACACCCACAGUUGCCCCAGAUGGCGUCAUUGUUUGUUAAUCAUUAUAAACACCCGCUUAGAAUAGAAAAACCACACAUUAUUCUCUCAUUUCUGAUGUGUUUUCCAAAUGCUUUAUUUUAAACUCUGACAAGGUCCAGUUGUAAUUCAUGGUGAUGGACUUCAUAUCCUUGGAUUUUGGAUGCCUCUGUUGUACACACAGAUUUGUGGUCAUUUUUCACACACAACCCAGUCCCCUUCUAAUAAGUUACACCAAUCAUUUAUGAAGAUGCUAUCGCUGGCUGGCCAGGGGGGAGUGGAUCAUCAACUAAUUAAUGGUCUUCCAGACGUCCCUUUUUUUCUGUUGGUGACAUUGAUCAGAGUUGUUGAAUUGUGCCAUAGUGCAUUAGUGAUAUUACCAGAGUGGUUAUCGGACCUGAUCAAAUCAGCGGAAGCAGGCGAUAUUUGGAAACUAGGGUAACCAUAAUUGUGCCUAUGGUGCUAGUUAAUACCACACCAUAACUGGUGUAUCACAUUAUAAACCCUGUUUGUCUGUUUGCUGCUCUACUUUUCAAUAGGUUCCCCUUUGACCAGAUGGAAGUUGAAGGAUGUUUCGUUCAAACAGUCAACCGUAUUUUUUCCCCCAGUAUAAUAAAUGUGACUUAGCAGAGUUUGGGACUAGUCUGUCAAGUGACUUGGACAUUGACAUUGUGAUUAGAGAUUUAUGUCCAUUUGUCAUGCUGUGGUUCAGUCUAAUAGUACUUAUGUUCUACUGAUCUUGGGGGAUAUAGUGAGUUAUGAAUUUUCAUUCUUGAACUGACUGAUUACUUUCAAAAUGGGCAUUUUCUAGAGGUAUAGCAAUUGCCAGAUUUUUAUUGUUGAAUAAUUAAGAUGUACAUGUCUGAGCUGUAAUAUUUGUAAUUUUGGAAACAAAAUGCUGUAUGCAGAUAAAUUAUAUUUACUCUAACCCAAGCCUUGAGGCCAGAUUUAUAAACAUGGCACUAUAGUUUAGCUAAGUAAAACUGGCCUGAUGUGCGAUUUGAAAGUGAAGUGAUUGAAACUGCAUCACCCCUUCAAUGUAGCUGAUUCAGUCUCAACCAGUCAUAAUACACAAACACACGUGAUCUGUUGUAGAAGAGAGAAAAAGUACAACCUCAGUACUUUGCCUUUUUUAUUUAGAUGAUUAUUUACCCACAUUCUCUUCUGUGCUUUUCAGAUGGUUUGAGAGUCCUGGAGUUCCUUUCAGACACUGAUAGGCCAUCUGGAUGCUGCUUUCGGGUGAUUCCUCACAAUUUGAGAAAUUAUUUUAAUUUCUACAAUGUAAUCCAUAUAAUGUUCCUUUGGAGGAAGUAUUGUUGGCAUAUAUUUGACAUUUUGUAUCUAAAAGCAUGUUUGAGAAAUAAUCGAUCGGUGUUGGCCGACCCAGACACCAUAACUGUUGCUCUAUAUGGGGCACAAACAUAAUCUUCAUGUUAUUUAAAACCUCAUUGUGUACUCUAAAAUGAGAAACAUUUACAUAAUUAAAUCUAUUAGGAUUUUGAAAAGUAUGAAAAUUAUACAUUUCUCAUUGUGUUUUAUGGACUGUUUUACUGACACAAGGUAAGAGUGGGAUCUCUGGGACUUUUUUUGUUAUGACCAAAUAUAUGUGGGGUAUGUAGAACUCCAUUCUUCCUAUUGCGAGUACAUUAUACUGUACUCUGGUGUACUGUACUGAACGCUACUCUUCUGUUCUGUACUGGCAAUAGAAUGAAUGGAGUUCUACAUACCCCACAUAUAUUUGGUCAUAACUAACAAACAAAAAAGUCCCAGAGAUCCCACUCUAACCGUCUGUCAGUAAAAUAUGAGAAAUUGAAGUCUCUAUAUUUGUGAUACCUUUCAAAAUAUGAAAUGUACAUUGAAAUCUUGCAUAAUGAAAUGUUUUACUCAUUUUAGUGGACACAAUGAGGUUUCAAAUGAUAAGAUGCCGUUUGUACCCCCAUAUAGAUCAACAGUUAUGGUAUCUUGCAAUGCUCCUGGGUAGGGCUGAAAUGUAAAAUAUGCUAACUUGGAAUAAUUAUUUCUCAAAUAUGCUUCUAAAUACAAAUUUCAAAUAUAUGUCAACAAUACUUCAUCCAAAGGACCAUUUUAUGGAUAAUAUUGUGACAAUCCCCCCAAAAAUCCCUUUUUGUUCUAGUUUCAUGUGGAAUUACUGUUUCUUUCUCCAACGUGUGAGGGGGAGAGAGUGAGCCAGAGGAUGAGGGUAUGCAGGAGAGGGAGUUGGAGAGGAUGUGUGUGUGUAUGCAGGGAGUGAGAGGUGUGUGUGUGUGUGUAAGGGAGAGAAUCAGAUGAUGAGAGAUGGAGCUGGUUGUGGUGGUGCUGUAGCAGCACAGAAUGGUUUGUGGGUUACACAGAGAUGCAGGCCGUACUGUGCUGCCGCAGUAACGCCUGGACAGACAGCAUCUGUGGAACUACCCGGAAAAGAGUGUGGGAGAGUGUGUGUGUGGGAUCCGACUGCCUCAUCACUGGCUGCCUUGCUGUAGCAGCACGUAAAUAUUGGAGUUAAAACUACUGCUGAAGCCUCCAGUAUUGAACGUGCUGCUGAAGCAAAGCUGACCGCUUACCACCGUUAACUUACGGCGAGUCUGCAUGCAUCAGUCCCUCUACUGCGCAUCGCAGGUGAACGGUGCACAGGAGAAGACACCGAAUGGAGAGGGACGCUGUGUCGUCAUCUUUAUGACGGGUACAUAAUUAUUAGGUUAAGCAGUUGUUUUUGUCCAUUAAACUUUUUUUACAUGUAUGUUUUAUUUUAUAGUUAAUUUUUGGGGGGUUAUGUUCAUAUAUUUGUAUAUACAUUAACAUUUUCUUUGCACAUUAAAUCAUGCAAACAAGUAGUAAUUUAAACUGGCCCAUGUUUUUUUGUAUUGAAACGCAUUUCUAUUGCAUUCUCUAAUAAACGUUUUUGAAAUGA